CUACAAACAGCAGGUCUCACGACCGACAUCGGCGGCUCCAACCUCGAGAAAGAUCUGAGGCCUGCGGGGGCCUGCUCGGAAGGCGGCAGAUCCCUUCGCCGACUGUGGCGCGCCUGCCUGGAGGCAUCUCAAAAAACUCUCAAGUCCUAGGCGCACACACCACAGAAUCCUGUGAACCCGGAACACCGGACUAUGUUGGGACCGAGGGCUGAGGGGCACAGCCAAUAACGAAUUGAACCCUCAGUCGUACCUGGACAGUAUCCAGCACCCUAUGGGCAUCGGCUGAACCUUCAUGGGCAUCCCACAGGCUUAACAGCUAAACCUCUCCUCGCGACAAUUGCUUGGCUCCUGGACUACCCCUACACUGCCUCGCAUUAUGCAAGUUAACACCAACUGGCAUUACUCUAUGCUCACUUACGAUUGCUGUACAAUAUUGAUAUGAU